GCAAACUGGCGCGUGCUUACACAUGCAGUCGAGCGCACCUGUCUUCGGGUGGGUGAGCGGCGAACGGGUGAGUAACACGUGGGUGACCUGCCCUUCACUCUGGGAUAAGCCUGGGAAACUGGGUCUAAUACCGGAUAUUCACUGAUCCUCGCAUGGGGGUGGGUGGAAAGUUUUUUCGGUGGGGGAUGGGCCCGCGGCCUAUCAGCUUGUUGGUGGGGUGAUGGCCUACCAAGGCGACGACGGGUAGCCGGCCUGAGAGGGCGACCGGCCACACUGGGACUGAGACACGGCCCAGACUCCUACGGGAGGCAGCAGUGGGGAAUAUUGCGCAAUGGGCGGAAGCCUGACGCAGCGACGCCGCGUGGGGGAUGACGGCCUUCGGGUUGUAAACCUCUUUCGACCUCGACGAAGCUUUCGGGUGACGGUAGGGGUAGAAGAAGCACCGGCCAACUACGUGCCAGCAGCCGCGGUAAU
rnacentral:rRNA from 1 species